GCCUUGUGGGGCUGUCUUAAACUCACAGCAAAUUCCAGUGAUGAAAACUUAUGCCGGGGGCCUCACGCCCCUGGGCCGGUUGAAUCCCACCCGUGUCUACAUACUAUUGUUGCUUUGGCAGGCCGUGGUCUCCACUGUGGGCUCUGCCUGCAUGUGCCUGCCAGAGGAUCAAACUCUGAAUUUUAGUGAUGUCUGAGUACUAUAUAAUAGUUAAAACUUUCAACAACGGAUCUCUUGGUUCUGGCAUCGAUGAAGAACGCAGCGAAAUGCGAUAAGUAAUGUGAAUUGCAGAAUUCAGUGAAUCAUCGAAUCUUUGAACGCACAUUGCGCCCUGUGGUAUUCCGCAGGGCAUGCCUGUUCGAGCGUCAUUAUAACCACUCAAGCCUGGCUUGGUAUUGGAGUUUGCGGUUCCGCAGCUCCUAAAAUCAGUGGCGGUGCCGGUGUGGCUCUACGCGUAGUAAUUCUUCUCGCGAUGGAGUUCCCCUGGUUACUUGCCAGAACCCCCAAUUU
rnacentral:rRNA from 1 species